rnacentral:lncRNA from 1 species
UAAAGCAUAAACCUUGGCACCUCGUAAACAAGAUCAACCAUCACUUUAAAUAUAACAUGUGAUAACUCUUACAUGAAAUACGAUUUUAAAUUGAAAAUGAAAUGAAUGCUGAUUCAUGUGGAAAAGCUGGAACUUAUAAAGUACUGUUACAGAAUGCAGAAACACUGGUUAAGUUACAUAAUUGAAAUACUAUUGAUUACGGCACUAACGCAGUCACAAACACUAAUGUGAUACUGUGAUAUAUGGGUAAAUGUAUUAUCUGGAGCUUAAAACUGGCAAAGUGGGAGUCUUGUUGUGUGUAACUAAUAUAAUGUUAAUAUAAUGUUACACAGACUGAAGAAAUAUACGACAUAAUACAAAAAGAGCCUUGUUAUAGAGAAUUAUCAAUUAUAUCCCUCUUUUUUUUUAUUUUGCAAGCAAUUGUCAUUACAUGGUUUCGAAAAACAAUAAAUUGUUUAAACAA